AAAUACCUUUUCGUUUAUAAACCUUAUAUAUGCGGCGGGUGAAAACAAGAAAAUAAUGGAAGACAACGGAGUAUGAAAAACCCAAGAUGGGUCCCACAACUGUCAUGGGAGAGUGCAAUACACCCGCCUGGAAACCGCGCUUGGGAUUAUUCACUACCCUCGGUGCAGCUACAAGAGAAGAAAGUAGAGGAAAUAUGGAGGGCUCACUGUGUCAGAUGGCUAAAAUUGCAAAACAAAGAGAACGUGCAAUAGAUCUGGAUCCACUUAAGCACACACUUACUCACCUCUCUUUCUUCUUACUUUCUUUCUGAUUUUUUUUUUUAAAUCUCCUUGAAAGAAAGAGAAAAAGAUUAGUAUAUCUGUAUAGAGAGAUAAAGAAAGAAAGAUUAUAGCUUCACUCACUAUUCCAUAAACACAAAAAACAAAGCUGUUGUUUUUAAGUGGGGGUGGGUGGUGUUUUUGAAAUUAAGUGCUAACACUGUUGCUACUAGUAAAUAUUUAUGGGUUUGCUGUUUCUGUUGCUGUCAAGCUGCUACUGCUGCUGCUGUUACUACUGCUGAUACUUGCAGGCUGCUCAUAGAAAUAUAGAGGGGCCGUGGUUUAGUUCUUUUGCAGUUUAUAGUCUAGUUUGUUAACAACCCCAUGUAGGAAAAUUUGAAGAAAGUGGAAAUAAAGAGGAAGUUGAAAGAUUUUGUAGUAGAAAAAGGGAGAAAUCUUUUAUGGGAAGACCAAGAGAAAAAGAGCAACUUGAAUCCUGUUAAGAAACAGCUGGUAUAUUUGCUAGUUGGUGGUGGAAAAAGAAAGGAUUUUUUCUUGACAGUCUUUACUUGAAGAAAGACAAAGAAAAACAGGAAAAGUUUGAGGGUUGGAGUUGAAUCUACUACCAACACUAAAAGAGACUGAAAAUUAUGGAUGCAUAUGAAGCUACAAAAAUAGUUUACCAAAGGAUUCAAAAUUUGGAUCCUGAAAAUGCCUCAAAAGUUAUGGGGAUUCUUCUGAUACAAGACCAUGGUGAGAAAGAAAUGAUCAGGUUAGCUUUUGGUCCAGAGGCUUUAGUUCACUCAGUGAUUCUUAAAGCAAGAAAAGAACUUGGCCUAGCCUCAAACUCACCUUCUUCUACACCUUCAACUCCUUCUUCACCUUCACCUUUUAGUGGUGUUUUUUCAAGGCAGAAUUCUUCUUCUGGUGGAAGGAUUCUUGGUGGUAUAAACCUUCCUUCACCUCUUAGCAUAACUAGUAACAACCAAUCUUCAACUGUUUCAGCUUCUUGGAGUAAUACUACUCCUAGCUUCUCUGACUUCCAAGAAACUGAUCUAGUUAGUCCUAGUGCUUCCACCAAUGGAAUCAGCAACUCCACUAUGAAUUCCUCUGCUCCACCCUUUUAUUGCAGUGGAGAAAUGGAUUUGAUAGAUGAGUUUCAACUACAGGACCAGCUUUCUUUCUUGAAUGAUGGGUCACCAACCUUGGGUCCUAAAAAUCCUGACGUUUAUUACCCACAGCAGCAGCAGCAAGAUUUAGCCUCCAGUCCAAGUGGGGAUUUCUCUUCAUUCAAUUGGGGUAGCAACUCAGUCAACGGCCUCUCCCAUAGAAGGAGUUGCUCUGUGAGUGAUAUUUCUUUAGGUGGUGAUGACCCAAAUGGGGGAUUUGGUUGGAAACCUUGUCUGUAUUUUGCUAGAGGGUAUUGUAAGAAUGGAAGUAGCUGUAGGUUCCUACAUGGUGCUGGAGAGGUGGUAUCUGAAGUUGUGGGGUCACCUAGCAAGUUUGAGAUGAUGGAGCAGCAUUGUCAACAACUUCUCAGAUCUAAGUCAACAUCUCAGCAGCAAAGACUAACUACUGCUUCUCAGCUCAUGGCUUCUUCUAACUUCCCUUUCUCUCCUGUGGCUGCUAACAAAUGCAUGAACUUUCUUCAGCAGCAACAGUUGCAGCAGUCUGCUGAGAGUCCCAGAGCAGCUGCUGCUGCUGCAUUGAUGAUGGGUGAUGACAUGCAUAAGUUGAACAGAAUUCGUUUUGAAAGAGGGGAUUUUGGGUUGAAUGGUGGAGCUGGGAUAGCAAAUCCAGGUUCUAGGCAAAUUUACUUGACUUUUCCUGCUGAUAGUACUUUCAAAGAAGAGGAUGUUUCCAAUUAUUUCAGCACUUAUGGGCCUGUUCAAGAUGUGAGGAUCCCAUACCAGCAAAAGCGGAUGUUUGGUUUUGUUACAUUUGUUUAUCCAGACACUGUGAAGACCAUUCUUGCCAAAGGAAAUCCUCAUUUUGUAUGUGAUGCUAGGGUGCUUGUCAAGCCAUACAAAGAGAAGGGCAAAGUCCCAGAAAAGUUUAGGAAGCAACAGCAGCAGAUGGAGAGAGGAGAAUUCACUGGAUGUGGUAGUCCUACUGGCCUAGACUCCAGAGAUCCUUUUGAUAUUCAGCUUGGUGCAAGGAUGUUUUACAAUAGUCAAGACAUGAUGUUGAGGAGAAAAUUGGAAGAACAAGCUGAUCUGCAACAAGCAAUUGAGCUCCAAAGCAGGAGGCUGAUGAAUUUACAGCUUCUUGAUGUCAAGAGGAGCAACCAUCACCGUGCCCUUUCAUUGGGAGCUGUUAUCCCGUCCCCACCUCACUCUCCAGGCUUCUUCAAUCAAAAUUUUGUUCAUUCCCCCAACCUUAGCAGCCGAGAAGCCAUAGAAGAGAAUGGUUUUGCUCCAAAAAUGGCCAAUUUUGCUGCUUUUUCCCCAGAAGAAAAGAACCCAAAUCUUACUGCAAAGGAGAGGGACUGCUACACAUCUAAAGAUGAAAAUAGCAAUGGCAAAGAAAGUUCCAAGAAGGAAGAAAAUGAUUUUCAAGAAAGUUUGGAGCAUAAUCUGCCAGAUAGUCCAUUUGCAUCACCAAAAGCUGUUGGAGAAUUCAUCACAACUUUCUCAAAUGAUGCUACUGUUGGAGAAGGUGACAAAGGUGCUGGAUUAAAUGCAUCAUCAUCGUCUGCUAACAAUAAUAUGAUCCCUUCUUCCUCCUUGUUUCCUGCUACUACUGCACUAGACAUCACUCCUUUCAAAUCAUGUUACUUCCAAGUGCCUAGGUUCCCUUCAGGACAUGGCACCAUUGGAAUGUAGGCCUGGACAGCUUGUUAUGUUGCGUAGUUUAGCUUCCUUAGUUUAGGAAGGAAAGAAAGAUGACGAAUGUAACCUAAAACAAAAAUACUACUGUAUCAAGAACCAACCAGCCAGCAGCAGACAGCAAAUACAUACACUACUUACUACUACUAUACAAAUAUGCAUACAUAUAUAAAGAAUGAUGUGUGACAGCCAUUUCCCAUCUCUGGGUUGUAAUGUUUUGAAAUCUUUUUUCAUAUCUUUCUGAUAGUUGAGGCUGGACCACAGUUUAAAAGAAAAAGACAAAAGGAAAAUUAGUCAUAGGUGAAAAGAAAAAUCCAAAGCAUCAACUUUUGGGACUGUAAUUUUCUUCCUCUUUCCCUCAGUAUUCUUGGGUGUUAGUGUGACAUCCCAAAGGUUUAGUGUUUUUUUUUUCUCUCCAAGUUUUAUGAUGUUGUAAUCAGUUGUACAGAGGAUGCAGAAGGCAGAAGACUAAUCAAGACUUGAAGUGAAGGUAAAUUCAAGAAAAUGCCAUAUAAGUAAAUUUGAAAUACUCACUUAGUAGGCAAAGGAUAAGUGUUUUGUUGUAACUUUGUAUUGUAUCCUUCAAAAGGGGUUUAAUACUAUUAUGCUUUAGCAUAUAGUUUUAUAUUAGUAUUAUAUAAGGAGUAGUAGCAGCUGCUUUUUAGGUACAAAAUGAAAUGGUAGUGUCUCUACCAUAUGUAGCAGCUAACCCUUUUUUUUAUUUCAUUUCAACCUUUUGUUGUAAUUUGAUAAGCAUUAGGUAAUAUCAAUCAAGAUGUAAACGGACAGAAAAAGAGGAGGAAAAUUGAGAAUUUGUCUCUUCAUUGCAGUUGUCCUUUUCCCCUCUUUAAUAUAUUAGAGGGAAAAGAAAAGAAAAGCACAUGGGAUGGCGCUGACACUUGAUUGUGGGGCCUAUUCAUCAAUUUAUCUAUUUGUCAUGGUUUGUGGGCCCUAUUCACCAACACCCAUGUGAUUGUCCAUGUUCUCUCUCUUUCAUGCUUCUGCCUAUUGUACAAUGUGCAUAAUUGGUUGUACCAUGUUUUUUAAAUUCUAUUUAAAGGACAACACACAGAUAUGAAAAGUAGAUUUUGAAAACAA